rnacentral:rRNA from 1 species
AUUGAACGCUGGCGGCAGGCCUAACACAUGCAAGUCGAGCGGAUGAAGGGAGCUUGCUCCUGGAUUCAGCGGCGGACGGGUGAGUAAUGCCUAGGAAUCUGCCUGGUAGUGGGGGAUAACGUCCGGAAACGGGCGCUAAUACCGCAUACGUACUGUGGGAGAAAGUGGGGGAUCUUCGGACCUCACGCUAUCAGAUGAGCCUAGGUCGGAUUAGCUAGUUGGUGGGGUAAAGGCCUACCAAGGCGACGAUCCGUAACUGGUCUGAGAGGAUGAUCAGUCACACUGGAACUGAGACACGGUCCAGACUCCUACGGGAGGCAGCAGUGGGGAAUAUUGGACAAUGGGCGAAAGCCUGAUCCAGCCAUGCCGCGUGUGUGAAGAAGGUCUUCGGAUUGUAAAGCACUUUAAGUUGGGAGGAAGAGCAGUAAGUUAAUACCUUGCUGUUUUGACGUUACCAACAGAAUAAGCACCGGCUAACUUCGUG